rnacentral:rRNA from 1 species
UACGGGGGGAGCAAGCGUUGUUCGGAUUUACUGGGCGUAAAGGGCGCGUAGGCGGCGCAACAAGUCACUUGUGAAAUCUCCGGGCUUAACCCGGAGCGGUCAAGUGAUACUGUCGUGCUAGAGUGCGGAAGGGGCUACUGGAAUUCUCGGUGUAGCGGUGAAAUGCGUAGAUAUCGAGAGGAACACCUGCGGCGAAGGCGGGUAGCUGGGCCGAUAUUGACGCUGAGGAGCGAAAGCGUGGGGAGCGAACAGG